rnacentral:lncRNA from 1 species
AGUUGGUAGAGGGCUUCCAGUCCUGUUUAGAUCAGUUGGUAGAGGGCUCCCAGUCCUGUAUAGGUCAGUUGGUAGAGGGCUCCCAGUCCUGUUUAGAUCAGCUGGUAGAGGGCUCCCAGUCCUGUUUAGAUCAGUUGGUGGAGGGCUCCCUGUCCUGUUUGGUUCUGCGAGUGAGCGGCUCCCAGUCCUGUUUAGAUCAGUUGGUAGAGGGCUCCCAGUCCUGUUUAGAUCAGUUGGUGGAGGGCUUCUAGUCCUGUAUAGGUCAGUUGGUAGAGGGCUCCCAGUCCUCUUUAGAUCAGAUGGUGGAGGGCUUCCAGUCCUGUUUAGAUCAGUUGGUUGAGAGGUCCCAGUCCUGUUUAGAUCAGUUGGUGGAGGGCUUUCGGUCCCGUUUAGAUCAGUUGGUUGAGAGUUCCCAGUCCUGUUUAGAUCAGUUGGUUGAGAGGUCCUACUCCUGUUUAGGUCAGAUGGUAGGGGGCUCCCUGUCCUGUUUAGAUCAGUUGUUGGAGAGCUCCCAGUCCUGUUUAGGUCAGUUCGUGGAGGGCUCUCUGUCCUGAUUUGGACAGUUGGUAGAGGGCCCCCUGUCCUGUUUAGGUCAGUUGGUGGAGGGCUCCCUAGGUCAGUUGGUGGAGGGCUCCUUGUCCUGUUUAUGUCAGUUGGUGGAGGGCUCCCUGUCGUGUUUAGGUCAGUUGGUGGAGGGCUCCCUGUCCUGUUUAGGUCAGUUGGUAGAGGGCUCCCUGUCCUGUUUAGGUCAGUUGGUGGAGGGCUCCCUGUCAUGUUUAGGUCAGUUGGUGGAGGGCUCCCUGUCGUGUUUAGGUCAGUUGGUGGAGGGCUCCCUGUCCUGUUUAGGUCAGUUGGUAGAGGGCUCCUUGUCCUGGUUAGGUCAGUUGGUAGAGGGCUCCUUGUCCUGUUUAGAUCAGUUGGUGGAGGGCUCCCUGUCCUGUUUAGGUCAGUUUGUAGAGGGCUCCUUGUCCUGUUUAGGUCAGUUGAUGAGUAUUUAGUCAUUUUGUUUAGCUGAGAUGAAGGGUAUGUGCCAGUCCUGUUUGGUUCUGAUGCUGUGUACAUGCUUGUCCUGUCUGGUUCUGUGUAUGUGUGUUCUGACUGGUUCUUUACGGAAGGUUUGAUUGAUAUUGUUGAGAUUUUAAUUGAAGGGUCUUUGUUCUCUGAGAGGAUGUGGUUCCUAGGACCCUCUGGUUCUGAUGAAAUUUGUGUCCCAGUCCUGUUCCCUGGCUUGGUAAAGUCAUGUUUCUUGGUUCUUGGAGGUUCUACUGGGAUGUAAGCAUGUCGGAUGGUUUUGGUUCUGGUGGAGUUAAGUUGCGAUGGGUUAUUGGUCCAUGUUGGCUCUGGUUCUGAUCGUGUGUGAGUUCUCAUUUUUCCAGGUUCUGAUGGAAACUGCGCUCCUCCAUGGCCAGGUUGUUGGGUUGGAGAUUGAGUCUGGAGUUCUGCCAAAUGUGACCCAGAUUUUCUCCAACGUACCCCUGGAUCUAACAAAAUGUUGGCUCCCUGGUCACCAGGUUCUGAUUGAAUAUGGGUCUUAAUGCCUCCUGGUUCUGGUGGGAUGUACACACUGUGUUCUGAUAUAUCAGUCCUAGCUAUGUGGAGAUUUGGGGGACUCUCUGUCCUUGCUAUGAGUGGAUUUGGGGGGCUCUCAUUCCAUGCUAGGUGUGGAUUUGGGGGGCUCUCAGUCCAUGCUAGGUGUGGAUUUGGGGGGCUCUCAGUCCUUGCUAUGAGUGGAUUUGGGGGUCUCUCAGUCCAUGCUAGGUGGGUUUGGGGGGCUCUCUGUCCAUGCUAGGUGGGGUGCUGGGGGUCUCUCAGUCCAUGCUAGGUGUGGAUUUGGGGGGCUCUCAGUCCUUGCUAUGAGUGGAUUUGGGGGUCUCUCAGUCCUUGCUAUGAGUGGAUUUGGGGGUCUCUCAGUCCUUGCUAUGAGUGGAUUUGGGGGGCUCUCAGUCCUUGCUAGGUGUGGAUUUGGGGGGCUCUCAGUCCUUGCUAUGAGUGGAUUUGGGGGGCUCUCAGUCCUUGCUAUGAGUGGAUUUGGGGGCUAUGUGGUGGAUUUGGGGCUCAGUCCAUGCUGUAGGUGGAUUUGCUAAGGGGCUCUCAGUCCAUGCUAGGUGGGGUGCUGGGGGGCUCUCAGUCCUUGCUAGGUGGGGUGCUGGGGGUCUCUCAGUCCUUGCUAUGAGUGGAUUUGGGGGCCUCUCAGUCCUUGCUAUGAGUGGAUUUGGGGGGCUCUCAGUCCAUGCUAUGAGUGGAUUUGGGGGUCUCUCAGUCCUUGCUAUGAGUGGAUUUGGGGGGCUCUCAGUCCAUGCUAGGUGGGGUGCUGGGGGGCUCUCAGUGCUGGGGCCCCUGCUAGGCAGAGAGCCGGUGCAGGGGGCCCCUCCCAGGAGCUGGAGCAGGAGUUGGAGCAGGAGCUGGAGCCCCGCAGCCCGGAUCAUCCUGCGGG